CCUACGGGUGGCAGCAGUCGAGAAUCUUUCACAAUGGGGGAAACCCUGAUGGUGCGACGCCGCGUGGGGGAAUGAAGGUCUUCGGAUUGUAAACCCCUGUCAUGUGGGAGCAAAUUAAAAAGAUAGUACCACAAGAGGAAGAGACGGCUAACUCUGUGCCAGCAGCCGCGGUAAUACAGAGGGCUCAAGCGUGGUUCGGAAUCACUGGGCGUAAAGCGUGCGUAGGCGGUUUCGUAAGUAGUGUGUGAAAGGCUGGGGCUCAACCCGCGGACGGCACAUGAAACUGGGAGACUAGAGUAAAGGAGAGGGAGCCGGAAUUCUCGGUGUAGCGGUGAAAUGCGUAGAUAUCGCGAGGAACACUCGUGGCGAAGGCGGGUUCCUGGACUGUAACUGACGCUGAGGCACGAAAGCGAGGGGAGCGAACAGGAUUAGAUACCCGUGUAGUC
rnacentral:rRNA from 1 species